AUUUAAAUCAGGUUUGCAUCAAUUGUUGUUCUUGUUCUUGUUUUUUUACAAUGUGUAGUUGUUGUUCUUGUUCCCAUGAAACUAUAUUUUUUCGUAAACCCAGAAACCUAUGUGAACUAAGUUCACGUACGUGAACUCAGUUGCGUAUGCAAACUAACGCUGCCCAGAAACCUACAUGAACUGAGUUUGAGUACGCAAACUCAGUUUGCGUAAAACCUACGUGAACUAUAUUCACGUAUGUGAACUCAAUUCACGUAGGUUCUAUGCAUACUUGGUUCAUGUACGUGAACUCAGUUCACGUAUGUUUUACGCAGACUGAGUUUUUUGGGCAGAGUGAGUUUGUGUAAGUGAACAAAUAUUGUGUCGCAACAUACUUGAUUGUGUUUUAAUUUUUAUUAUGAUAUGAUUAUGCAAAAAUGGUGCCACUAUGUUUACUGAUAGAGCAUGUUGAGUUAUAAUUAAUGAUACUGUUAGUGAUGAGGGUACUAUUGGUAAGGGUCAUCGUGUUAGACUAACCGCUUCUGCACGAGCUCAGAGUCUUGAGAAGCAACAUGAAGUGUAGAGGGAGAGGCGAACACAACGUAAACAAUGACGAUUACAACAUCAACAAAAGGCCCAACAGAAAGGGGAGACCCAACAGGAAGAGCAAACACAACAUCAGGCCCAACCAUAGCACCUAGAUAAACCUCCACAAACCGAUGGAUAUCCUGGUGGUCUGGUUGACAAGUACGCUCUUAUGACAUUUGGUGAUUAUGUGGCCACUCGACUUUGGGAUGAAGUGGAUCGCGGGGGAGCUAAGGGUACUUGAAGUUGGCUACUUGAAGUAUAUCAUCAGCGAUAUCGUGAUCAGUAUUGGGAGAUGGCUGCAAGGACGUUUCUACUAUUUUUAGUUGGUUGCACACUUUUCAGCGAUAAGAGUACCUUUGCAGUUAGCGUUGUCUACUUAGAGUGCUUUUGAGACCUCAACUCAUGUGGGGGAUAUGCAUGGAGGUGCUGAAAAUCUCGACGAAGUUAAUAUGCAUUAGACCAGAACAAUUUAUGGGUAUCUGACACUUUUACAGAUUGUUGUAGACUUUGACCUAGAUAUAUUGAGGCCAAUCCUAUAGCACUUCGAUGGAAGCCGAAGAUGGAUAAGAUUUGAUUCUUCCAUUUAGGAAAUAAGCACAAUAAAUUGACUGCUUUUGAAAAAAGAUAUUGAAUUACGUUCAUCAAAGCAAGGUCUCUAUCAGUAACGACGACUUGAACUUCACCACUUGUAAUGUGUUCUUUCAACAUUUGUAGUGCCCACAUGAAGUUGUCAGCAUGCUCAAACUUUAGAUAUGCAAAUGCCACACAAAAUGUCAUUUCAGUAGAAGUAACACCAAUAAUCUCAAGUAACGACAUUCGAUAUCUACAAGUCUUGUAUGUGUUAUCCAUAAUCAAUAUUAUGUGAAAAUUAUUUACACGAGUGAUAACAUUUGGAUAGGUCCGGGAUAUGUCCCUCAACUCAUCUAAAUCAUCAACGUAUUUGUCGCGUUCCAUCAAUGUCAUUAGAUAUUGCAUUUAUGUUCUAUUACCUCUAAGUGAUGAACGAUAUGUUUGAUGUGCAUUGUAAACUUGUUUGAUUGUCAUUAAAGUUUCAAUAUUAUGAUCCUUUAAUGUGAUCAAUAUCAUGAUACUUAAUUGA